GUCGCCCACUCAACACACACACAUCACUGUUACUGGGAACACGAAACAGACGAAGGGAACAAAGGGAACAAAGGAUCAGAACUGAGGAUCAGAACAAAGGAUCGGAACGGAGGAUCGGAACGGAGGGUCGGAACGGAGGGUCGGAACGGAGGAUCGGAACGGAGGGUCGGAACGGAGGGUCGGAACGGAGGAUCGGAACGACGGAUCGGAACGACGGAUCGGAACGGAGGAUCGGAACGAAGGAUCGGAGCGGAGGAUCGGAACGGAGGAUCGGAACGACGGAUCGGAACGAAGGAUCGGAACGAAGGAUCGGAACGGCGGAUCGGAACGGAGGAUCGGAACGAAGGAUCGGAACGGCGGAUCGGAAGCGGGAAUGGAUCGGAGCGAAGGAUCGGAACGGGGAAUGAAGGAUCGGAACGGCGGAUCGGAACGAAGGAUCGGAGCGAAGGGAAUGAAGGAUCGGAACGAAGGAUCGGAACGAAGGAUCGGAGCGAAGGGAAUGAAGGAUCGGAACGGCGAUCGGAACGGAGAUCGGAAGCGAAGGAUCGGAACGGAAGGAUCGGAAGGCGAUCGGAACGGCGAUCGGAACGAAGGAUCGGAAGCGAAGGAUCGGAACGGAAGGCGAUCGGAGCGAAGAUCGGAGCGGGAAUGAAGGAUCGGAACGAAGGAUCGGAGCGAAGGAUCGGAGGCGAAGGAUCGGAAGGCGAAGGCGAACGGGCGAUUCAGAACAAAGGGAAUGAAGGAUCGGAACGAAGGAUCAGAACGAAGGAUCGGAACGAAGGAUCGGAACGAAGGAUCGGAACGAAGGAUCGGAACGAAGGAUCGAAGGAUCGGAACGGCGGAUCAGAACGGCGGGAACGAAGGAUCGGAACGGCCGGAUCAGAACGAAGGGAAGCGAAGGAUCGGAAGCGAAGGAUCGGAACGAAGGAUCGGAACGGAUCGGAACGAAGGAUCGGAACGGCGAUCAGAACGGCGAAGGAUCAGAACGAAGGAUCAGAAGGGCGAAGGAUCAGAACGGAAGCGAAGGAUCGGAACGAAGGAUCAGAACGAAGGGAACGAAGGAUCAGAACGAAGGGAACGAAGGAUCAGAACGAAGGGAACGAAGGAUCAGAACGAAGGGAACGAAGGAUCAGAACGAAGGGAACGAAGGAUGGCAGUGGCAGGAAGUGGAGACGCGUCGUCCAUAUUUUUUUACAGUCUGUGGUUUACACUUAUAUACCUGUUGAUGUGAUGUGCUUGAGUUUGUUCCAGCUUCCAACAGAAGAGGAAGAUAAAUGA
rnacentral:lncRNA from 1 species